rnacentral:tRNA from 1 species
AUGAUAAUUAGUUUAAGCCAAAAAACAAAUGAUUUCGACUCA